rnacentral:rRNA from 1 species
CAAUAGCGUAUAUUAAAGUUGUUGCAGUUAAAAAGCUCGUAGUUGGAUUUCGGGACGGGCCAGUUGGUCCGCCGCAAGGUGUGUUACUGACUGGUCUGUUCUUCUUCGCAAAGACUGCGUGUGCUCUUCGUUGAGUGUGCGUAGGAUUUACGACGUUUACUUUGAAAAAAUUAGAGUGUUCAAAGCAGGCUAUCGCUUGAAUACAUGAGCAUGGAAUAAUGGAAUAGGACUUUGGUCCUAUUUUGUUGGUUUCUAGGACCGAAGUAAUGAUUAAGAGGGACAAUUGGGGGCAUCCGUAUUCCGUUGUCAGAGGUGAAAUUCUUGGAUUUACGAAAGACGAACAACUGCGAAAGCACUUGCCAAGAGUGUUUUCAUUAA